rnacentral:rRNA from 1 species
UUGAUUAUGGCUCAGAUUGAACGCUGGCGGGAUGCUUUACACAUACAAGUCGAACGGCAGCACGGACUUCGGUCUGGUGGCGAGUGGCGAACGGGUGAGUAAUGUAUCGGUGUGCUAGUAGCGGGGGAUAACUACCACGCUGAAAGCGUAGCUAUUACCGCAUACGCCCUUCGGGGAAAGCAGGGGACAUUCAGACUCGCACAAACAGCCGAUAUCGGAUUAGCCGUUGGGUGAGGUAACGGCUCACCAAGGCGACGAUCCGUAGCUGGUUUGAGAGGACGACCAGCCACACUGGGACUGGACACGGCCCAGACUCCUACGGGAGGCAGCAGUGGGGAAUUUUGGACCAUGUGGAAACCCCUGGUCAAUACGCUCCGUGUGUGAUGAAGGCCUUCGGGUUGUAAAGCACUUUUGGCAGGAAGAAACGGCACAGGAUAAUACCCGUACAACUGACAUUACCUGCAGAAUAAGCACCGGCUAACUACGUGCCAGCAGCGGUAAUACAAUGAAGAUUAUGACGUUAAUCGGAAUUACUGGGCGUAAAGCGUGCGCAGGCGGUUGGAAAAGAAAGAUGUAAUCAGAGCUUAACUGAACUUCAUUUUUAACUACCGAGCUGAGUGUGUCAGGAGGUGGGAAUUCCGCGAUGUAGCAGUGAAAUGCGUAGAUAUGCGGAAGACACCGAUGGCGAAGGCAGCCUCCUGGGAUAACACUGACGCUCAUGCACGAAAGCGUGGGGAGCAAACAGGAUUAGAUGCCCUGAUCCCGCCUAAACGAUGUCAACUAGCUGUGGGGCCUUCGGGCGCGGUAGCACCAGCUGCGCGGUCUUGGCCGCCUGGGGAGUGCAGUGCCAGGUCAAACUCAAAGAGAUGACGGGGACCCGCACAAGCGGUGGAUGAUGUGGAUUAAUUCGAUACAACGCGAAAAACCUUACCUACCCUUGACAUGUCUGGAAUCCCGAAGAGAUUUGGAGUGCUCGCAGAGAACCGGAACUGGGUGCUGCAUGGCUGUCGUCAGCUCGUGUCUGACGAAUCGUGGGUUAAGUCCCGCAACGAGCGCAACCCCUUGUCGUCAGUUUUCGAAAGGGCACUCUAAUGCGGACUGCCGGUGACAAACCGGAGGAAGGUGGGGAUGACGUCAAGUCCUCAUGGCCCUUAUGGUGAGGCUUCACACGUCAUGCAAUGGUCGGGACAGAGAGUCUCCCAACCCGCGAGAGGCUCAUCCCCGAAACCCGAUCGUAGUCCGGAUCACAGUCUGCAACUCAUUCCGUGAAAGUCGGAAUCGCUAGUAAUCGCCGGAUCAACAUGUCGCGGUGAAUACGUUCCCGGGUCUUGUACACACCGCCCGUCACACCAUGGGAGUGGGUUUUACCGAAGUAGUUCCCAGCUAUAACGCCGUAAGGAGGGCGAUUACCACGGUGAUUCAUGACUGGGGAGUGAAGGGGAAGUCGUAACAAGGUAA